rnacentral:misc_RNA from 1 species
UCCGGUUUGUCACCGGCAGUCUCCUUAAAGUUCCCGGCAUGACCCGCUGGCAAAUAAGGAUAAGGGUUGCGCUCGUUGCGGGACUUAACCCAACAUCUCACGACACGAGCUGACGACAGCCAUGCAGCACCUGUGUCCCGAUUCCCUUUCGGGCACCCCCACCUCUCAGCAGGGUUCCGGGCAUGUCAAGGGUAGGUAAGGUUUUUCGCGUUGCAUCGAAUUAAUCCACAUCAUCCACCGCUUGUGCGGGUCCCCGUCAAUUCCUUUGAGUUUUAAUCUUGCGACCGUACUCCCCAGGCGGCGAACUUCACGCGUUAGCUACGGUACUAAAGAAGUCUCCUUCCCCAACACCUAGUUCGCAUCGUUUAGGGCGUGGACUAC